UCCAGGGUAGCCUAGUGGACAUGGCAUCUGCCCAGUAAGCGGAACACUGUGGGUUCGAUUCCCAUCCCUAGUC